UUCCUCUGGAGGGCAGAUCUGGAGUCCGUUUUGGGCUCCGGAGAGGGGAGAUCGUCACCGUCGUCAUCACUAACCUUCCUUCAUCGCUAAUUCCAUGAUGCUCUUCAUCGUUCGUGAGUAAUCUCAUCGUAGGCUUGCUGGACGGUGAUGGGUUGUAUGAUAUCUAUCAUGUAAUCAAGUUAGUUUUGAUGGGAAUUGAUCCCUAGUAUCCACUAUGUUCUGAGAUUGAUGUUGCUACUACUUUGCCAUGCUUAAUGCUUGUCACUAGGGCCCGAGUGCCAUGAUUUGUGAUCUGAACCUAUUAUGUUCUCGUCAAUAUAUGUG
rnacentral:lncRNA from 1 species